rnacentral:snRNA from 1 species
GUGUUCCCCUCAGCAGCACAUGCCCUAAAAUAGGAUAGAGAAGAUUAGCAGGGUCCCCAUGCAAGGGGUAGGCAUGCAUUUGUGACGCUUUCUGCAUUGUU